rnacentral:rRNA from 1 species
GAUGAACGCUGGCGGCGUGCCUAAUACAUGCAAGUCGAGCGAAUGGAUUAAGAGCUUGCUCUUAUGAAGUUAGCGGCGGACGGGUGAGUAACACGUGGGUAACCUGCCCAUAAGACUGGGAUAACUCCGGGAAACCGGGGCUAAUACCGGAUAACAUUUUGAACCGCAUGGUUCGAAAUUGAAAGGCGGCUUCGGCUGUCACUUAUGGAUGGACCCGCGGCGCCUUAGCUAGUUGGUGAGGUAACGGCUCACCAAGGCAACGAUGCGUAGCCGACCUGAGAGGGUGAUCGGCCACACUGGGACUGAGACACGGCCCAGACUCCUACGGGAGGCAGCAGUAGGGAAUCUUCCGCAAUGGACGAAAGUCUGACGGAGCAACGCCGCGUGAGUGAUGAAGGCUUUCGGGUCGUAAAACUCUGUUGUUAGGGAAGAACAAGUGCUAGUUGAAUAAGCUGGCACCUUGACGGUACCUAACCAGAAAGCCACGGCUAACUACGUGCCAGCAGCCGCGGUAA